rnacentral:rRNA from 1 species
GGAGUUUGGACCGUGUCUCAGUUCCAAUGUGGGGGACCUUCCUCUCAGAACCCCUACUGAUCGUCGGCCAGGUGGGCCGUUACCCCGCCUGCAACCUAAUCAGACGCAUCCCCAUCCCCUACCGCAGAGCUUUAUUCACCGUCAGAUGCCAUCUAGUGAAACUAUCAGGAGUUAAUCCGGUUUUCACCGGGCUAUGCCUGAGUAGGGGGAAGGUUGGAUACGCGUUACUCACCCGUGCGCCGGUCGCCAUCAAAAUCAGCAAGCUGAUCUCAUGCUGCCCCUCGACUUGCAUGUGUUAAGCCUGUAGCUAGCGUUCAUC